GCCUAACACAUGCAAGUCGAGCGCCCCUUCGGGGGAGCGGCGGACGGGUUAGUAACGCGUGGGAACGUGCCCUUCUCUACGGAAUAGCCUCGGGAAACUGAGAGUAAUACCGUAUACGCCCUUCGGGGGAAAGAUUUAUCGGAGAAGGAUCGGCCCGCGUUGGAUUAGGUAGUUGGUGGGGUAAUGGCCUACCAAGCCGACGAUCCAUAGCUGGUUUGAGAGGAUGAUCAGCAACACUGGGACUGAGACACGGCCCAGACUCCUACGGGAGGCAGCAGUGGGGAAUCUUAGACAAUGGGGGAAACCCUGAUCUAGCCAUGCCGCGUGAGUGACGAAGGCCCUAGGGUCGUAAAGCUCUUUCGCUAGGGAAGAUAAUGACGGUACCUAGUAAAGAAGUCCCGGCUAACUCCGUGCCAGCAGCCGCGGUAAUACGGAGGGGACUAGCGUUGUUCGGAAUUACUGGGCGUAAAGCGCGCGUAGGCGGACUAUUAAGUCAGGGGUGAAAUCCCGGGGCUCAACCCCGGAACUGCCUUUGAUACUGGUAGUCUUGAGUUCGAGAGAGGUGAGUGGAAUUCCGAGUGUAGAGGUGGAAUUCGUAGA
rnacentral:rRNA from 1 species